GCCCGGCUAGCUCAAUCGGUAGAGCGUGAGACUCUUAAGGAUAUAAAAGAUCAAAAAGGAUUCUCCGUAAAUCUCAAGGUUGUGGGUUCGACCCCCACGUCGGGCU